rnacentral:lncRNA from 1 species
UCACUUAUAUCUGUCUUUUCAGCUGGAAUCAAGCUUCUAGUUUUAUCAUUGUUGUAUUUGGUUCCAUUUCUAUUUGUUGAUAACUAUUUUACUUGUAUAACCUGAUUAUUAUAUUAGUUUCUUACUUUCUGCGGUUUGGGAAGCUUUAUAUUCUGAAUAUAACUUGCUGGUUAGUUUUUCAGGUCUUAUCAUGAUGAGGAGCACUAUAAUAGUGUGCGAUUAAAAGAAGACACUUGUUCUGGAGCUGCAAGACCUGUCACAAUCAAGGUUGUUUUUUGGCUCGUCUCUUGCACCUUUGAUUUGCAUG